rnacentral:rRNA from 1 species
CCUACGGGUGGCAGCAGUGAGGAAUAUUGGUCAAUGGACGCAAGUCUGAACCAGCCAUGCCGCGUGCAGGAUGACGGCUCUAUGAGUUGUAAACUGCUUUUGUACGAGGGUAAACCCCGAUACGUGUAUCGGGUUGAAAGUAUCGUACGAAUAAGGAUCGGCUAACUCCGUGCCAGCAGCCGCGGUAAUACGGAGGAUCCGAGCGUUAUCCGGAUUUAUUGGGUUUAAAGGGUGCGUAGGUGGUUUGAUAAGUUAGAGGUGAAAUGUCGGGGCUCAACCCCGAAACUGCCUCUAAUACUGUUGGACUAGAGAAUAGUUGCGGUAGGCGGAAUGUAUGGUGUAGCGGUGAAAUGCUUAGAUAUAACUUAGAACUCCGAUAGCGAAGGCAGCUUACCAGACUGCGACUGACGCUGAAGCACGAGAGCGUGGGUAGCGAACAGGAUUAGAUACCCUUGUAGUC